rnacentral:lncRNA from 1 species
AAUUCAAGAGUCUAUAGUCAUAUUAAAUUCAAGAAUCUCAUACAAAAACAAGCUGAUUCCUUCUUUAAAUUUAAAUUUUAUUAAAAAUAUUCAUAAUAUCCAUCCCCAUAAAUCGGAAGUAAUAAUCAUUGGCCAGGAAAAGUGUCUGGGGCUCUGAAUUCUCACAACCAUGGAGAUAGCUUCCAUAGACCGUUUACAUAUGGUAAGCAACAAGACGUUGUGUAGACGUCUAAAUAUUGAUCAUUAUAUGAUUACAAACGAAGCUCCAAGCACGUCUCUGGCUUUAUUCAAAUUAAAGACGAGGUUUCACUGAUGUUUAAAUUUAUGGACUCGGGAUUGAUGGGGUAAAGAUCAUGGGCAGAUGUAGAGGAAUUUCCAAUCCAUGAUUUAUCAGAUGGAGGAAAGAGGUCUUUUGUGUUGUUUAAACUCUGGUCCAUGACCUGCUGAUAGUGUCCUUUGAGACGUUUGGAGUGUAAAUCAUCACCAUAAAUGCUAGGAUCUGAGAUCAUCUCCUGGAUGCUGGUCUGUCCUUCAAGCAUGCUCACCACUUCUGACAUUGCAGGCCUUAGAGAUGGAGAUGCAUUGGUGCAUAAGAGAGCCAAUUUGAUCAUCCUCUCAGCCUCUUCCUUGUUGAAUUCAGACUGCAGCUUUGGGUCCACUAUCUCCAUUAAAUUUCCCUUUUUUUGCAGUACAUGGGCCUGUGAAAGCAAAAGGUAAAGUAUUUGCAGAGAGUAGUGCCUAAUGCAUCAUGAAUUCAAGAUAGCAACAAGAACAGACUUGUAACUUACCCAGUCAAGAAGACAUACGAAUUCAUUUGUUGUCCUGUGACUCGAAUUGCUUCUUCCACUGACAAUUUCUAAAGCAACAACACCAAAACUAUAAACAUCUGCUUUGUCUGUUAAAUAACCCCACAGCGCAUAUUCUGGAGCCAUAUAUCCUCUGAAAUCAGAACCAUGCCAGAUUAGUGACUCUACCGGAGUAUAUUGCGAUCACUGAAUAAAGGAAGCUGCAAAUUAAGUCUGAUUAAAACUUACAUGGUUCCAGCAACACGAGUGCUAAUGUGAGUGUUCUCCUCUUCAUUGAGCUUAGCUAGUCCAAAGUCUGAUAUCUUGGCACUUAGAUCUUUGUCCAGUAAUACAUUUGUACCUUUGAUGUCUCUGUGAACAAUCCUGAUUGCAGAUUCUUCAUGGAGAAAUGCUAAACCUCUGGCUAUUCCAACACAUAUCUUAUAUCUUGUUGGCCAAUCCAGCAUCAGAAAACUUGUUUCUGAACCUGUAGCUAAUCCAGUAAAGGAGGCUCACUAAAUAAAAUGACUUCAACUUUGCUAGUCGAUACUAUUAUUGAAAAAAGAAGAAGAAGAUUUUACUGGAAAGUAAUCAGAUGCCAUUAUGGUUACCAAAAAGUGCUUUGGCGAGGGAGUUGUUUUCCAUGUAUUCGUACACCAGAAGCAACUGAUCUCCUUCAAUACAGCAUCCAUAAAGCUUUACAAGAUUGGGAUGCUGUAAACCAGAUAUCAUGCCUAUUUCAUUCACAAAUUCUCGGUUUCCUUGCCUGGAUUUAGGAGAUAGCUGCUUAACAGCAAUAAGAGUUCCAUCUGACAAUUUACCCUGCAUUGAAUUUAUUGUAGACAUUUUGCAUUAUCAAACAAAAGGUCCAAUGAUCAACUGGGAUAAUAUGCAAGAGAAUAUUAGAGUGACAGACCUUGUAUACGGAGCCAAAUCCACCUUCUCCAAUUUUGUCAGCAGAAUCAAAAUUGUUAGUGGCAGCUCUCAGCUGCCUCAAAGUGAAGGAACCAGUUUUCAGAUCUAGCCCCUUGAGAUCUGCACAUAAUUGUUGGUGACACAAGGGAAAUGCUUCAACAUCAUCAAUGCGCGGAUGUGUUAUAUUCUAGAUGUUUGCGUGUGUAAUAGCUGCUAAUUAACUAAUUAAGGAAAAGGCUUUAGCACGCAGAUGAUUGAUUUCAAUGUACCUCGUUCUCUCAUGAACUUGUCUCUAAAAUAGAAUUUCCAACAAAUGACACCCAUUACCAAGAAAACAAGGAGUAAGGCUGAAGUGACAGCUCCAAUCACGAUAGGUGUUUUACUUGCUUCUCCAGGUUCUGAAAUUAAACAAAGUUACACGUACAAACACAGAAAGCCAAUGGGACAAUAAAUCACUGUAGGGGAGCAGUUCACUUCUCACCUGGACAAUAAGUACUCUGGCCUGAAAACCACAAACCAUAAAAUGCUUCUUAGAUGGUAUAAUGAACUGAGUAGAAGCUUACAUACAGUUAAGAUGAAAAUCAAAACCAGGUUCAUAAGGAAGAAUUUGUUUGUUAAUUAUGCAACUGGUUGGGGAAAAGACCAAGUCUAAGUCUAAGGGUGGUGAGAUUUAAAUUCAUAAUUACUUGGUUAAUAAAAUUCUAAUAUCAUUGCUCGGUUUUCAUUUUAACUUAAUUGAUAAAGGUCAUUGUAUAUGAAUGAAAUCGCAAAGUCAGUGACUUUCAAAUGAUAUGCUGGGAAUAUAUAUAUAAAACAUGCCUGAGCAUACAGUUAUUGCAGAAAUAAGAGGACCGUAAUUUCCUCUUUUUGGAAUGCAAGUAGUCCCUUUUCCAUUCCAGUAUAAACGGAUCUCCAAGGUAGUGUCUGUCACAUUGGCAUUGAAUACUAUAGAAGUUUUGUUAGAUCCAUUAGCAGCCUCCUCAAUAUUAAAAUCUUUUUUCUCUAGUUUCCCCUGGAAAACAAAUCCCAAGUUAAAAGGAUCUUUUUGAAAAAAAAAUCAUCUUUUUGGAUAAUUUAAUCUCAAUUACCUGAAUAUAAAUGUCAAAAAAGCGUUUUCCAACUCUUUUGUACAAUUCGUCACCUGUGAAUUGUAUCUCAGCAAAGUCGAGUUUAACAGUGUACAUCCCAUUUUCUAGACAAUAUCCAUAAUAAGUGAGAGAGAUGGCAGCUCUGCGUGCUGUAGAAAACAACGGUUCAGUCGAGUAGUUUAAACGAAGUCUAUAUCCGAGGCUUUUAUCUUCAUCAUCCAUAAAAUCUCCAGUGUUGCUGAAUCCCCAGUUUGAUUUUUUAUUGGAAUAAAUCGUAGCAGCAUCACCUUUAAUGCUGUCGUCACCUUCAUACAAGAUACUCCCAUUGGUUUCAUCCGGUCCACCACAGUUUACAUGGAAUGAACGAUAACCUGCAAUACGUCAAAUUAGUACACCAUUAGAACAGUUGCAAAUAUUCUUCUCAUAUCGAAGGGGCGUGUAAGUGUUUAGAUUUUUGGAUCCCUUUGCUCUACAACUAGAGCUGUUACUCUACUAUAUAGCUUCAAAUCGAUUAGUCAUUGGCUAAUUAAUACUUUUCCAAGUGGCUUGUCACAAUCAUUGUUCAACUCGAAUCGAUGGAGGUUGUUCUAUCAACCUUUGGUUUCCGAUUAGUGAUAUUGAUGGUGAAAAUGUGAGGUGCUCAAGUUCUGCUUGAGGCCAUGUUUUGGUUACAGAUAAAUCCUUACUUGUCCAACGAAACUGAGAAUGAAUACAUCCUGUGUGCAGAAUAGAAUGUAGAAUUAAGGCAAAAAAAUCUACAUUGAAAUUAGUACUCGUGCUCAAAUAAAUACACUGACACUGAUAUUAUAGUAGAUUACUGAUUUCGGUAUGUUGAUAAAUUUGAAACAGAUGUGCUUUGAUUUUAAAGAACUUCGUUACUUCUCAUUUAAGGAGGGAAAAGAAUAUCAUACUUUUGGGGCACUCAAGCAUGCCUGAGCAUGGAAGAAGUCCGCUUCUGUAAGACAUGGAAAUUAUAGUAAGAAUUUCAAAUGGUUCUGCAAACUGCAUUAUAAGAAUCAGAUAUCGAAACCAUGCCUCAAGAAUUAGCAUUAUUUCAUCCCCAAAAAAAAUAUCAUAUUAUUCAAGUAAAAUAUUCAUUUUAUGUUUGCUCAUUGAGAAAAUCGGUGCAUUGCUGUUCCCUCUUCAUGAGUGUUUGUGCUUAUAUCUUGGGGUAAAUGAAUAAUAAAGCAUGUCACAUUCUUAUGUUCUUCAUUCAUUCAUUCAUUCAGCAUUAAUCAACAACGUAUAUAAUUGAUGAUUUCUAUUGGUAUUUUUGCAAGCAGUUUACAUAACAUGAUCUAAAUUAAAACGUUCAAAAUGCACAAGUUAGCAUAUAUAAAAUUUGCAUAACUGAUUUGUAAUAGUAAAAAUAUUUUGAGCAUAAAAGCCACAAGGACAUGGCCUGGUAUAUCUGAUCCUGGGAUACCAAGUUUGUGCUGAGAAAGAAAAUCUGGAUAGGAUUUAAAGAUAAAAAUAUAAAUUGCAGAUUUAACUCCAAAGAUAUUCAGUUAAAAUCCUGCUUAGCAUCUGAUAUAUAAUGUAUCCCCCCCCCUGAAAACUAUAUAUAUAAGAAAUCCCUUUAAAAUAUCCCAAAAGGGAAUUUUGAAAUUUUAUCCUGCAAGAGCUCCAUUUCCAAAUUAAGGUUAUCCAUAGGGACCUCAUUUCAUCCUAGAUUCUGCUAAGCAUAAAUACACCUCUUUUACAUUGUAUCAGUUGUGGUUCUUUUUCCUUGGAACAAGAUUAUUGGACUUGGUAUGACAACUACCAGAUUGGAUCUCCAACAACAUGAAAUACCAAAAAUAUCGCUCUCCAGAGUGUAUAAGAGGAGCCUUACAAGUUAUUCUUGAUGAAUGAACUCCUGUACGUGUUUAUAUCCCUGGUUUAUAGAUUCAAAUCAUUAAGUUUCGCAGCAACCAGGAGCAUCCCAAAUUUAAGAAAAUAGAUAUCCUUACUGGGCAUCUUGACAGCUUGGCAGCCGUGAAAAGUUAUUGUAGGAAACAUCACUGCAAGAAGCCAAGGGAAUCAUAAGUAUGAAUAUGAACCCCAACAAAAUUAAUAAUAAGGGAACAAAUGAAAUGCUAAGCAAGAUUAAAAAAAAAACCCACAUAUUUCCAGAAACUAGGCUUUCGUUGAGGCCCUAUAUAUGUAGCCUUAGAUUAUCAAGAUUCACUCAGAAGACCACUUUAUAAAUAUUAAUGGUUGAUCAAUCAUCAGCAGUUUUAUCUUCACAAGAAAGCAGAGAAGUUGAACAGAAUAUCUAAACUGAAAUAACUGAAACCGGUGAUACAUUUCAGAAACAUACAUUUUGUUGCCUGAGUUGAUAAAUGAGUCUGGGACACUUCCAGUCAGCUUGUUUCCACUAAAAAACCUGGUUUUCAAAAGCCAGAUUGAUUCUUUCAGCAUAAUUCACUCCUCCAUCCAUGGUCAGAUUCCAAAUAUUCAAAUUUAAAUACUUACAUAAAAUCAUAUAUUUUUGCAUCUCGAGGAAUUCCUCCUUCCAACUUGUUGAAAGUUAAAUCCCUGCAAAAGAUUACAUUAAAAGAUUUUCCAACUUUAGUUUUCGGAAUAUUCCUUGCAUCUUUUUGCAAGUAGUUUUGCAAUAGACAAGCUGGAGCUUCUGCUAAAUGCAAAUACCUGCAUUAUUUUUACUUAUGUUUCAUUUGGUUCAUGGUUAAACACAAACCAAGUUAAAUGUCAAGGAUGUAAAAGUGUUUAGAAUGUGUGGAAGAAAGUUUAGAAAUAAGGUUCUAAAUGUUGAAGGUAAAUUGAUUUCUAGAAAUUAGUUGAAUCAGUCGACUGGUUGAUAACAGGUCAAUCAAUUGAGACAAAGCGAGUGGUUGGAUUAAGAAUCAGUCAACCGGUUCAGUCGUCAUAAUACAAUUCCUGUUUAGAUUAGGAUUUCCUUGAUUUCCUUGUAUUAGUUUAAUUUCUUAAUUAUUUAGAACUUUAUGUUUAUAAAAAGGCUUGUAAUUCAACAUUACUAUAAAUAUAAAAAGAAAGAAAAUAGCUAAGGGGGCUUAAAGAGAAACACUUAACAAAAGUAUUCGUUUCUCUCAAUCUUCUUCUUGUUCUUGAGUUUUUGACCUUAUAGUAUUGUGUUGAUCUUAUACCACACUUGUUUUACAUUAUAGUGGUCAAUACCGCCGCCAAACAUGUAUGAGAAGUUUUGGAAGAAUCAAAUUAAGGAGUUGACAAUGUGAGAAAGGUACCAUGUUUAGAAAAGCUAUGUGGCGACUUUGAAAAGUUACAUAUAUUUGAAUUAGAGAAUAUUUCAGAAUAUUUUGCAAGAGUAUUGGUCAUAUACAAUCAAAUAAGGAGAUAUGGAGAGAAGAUGGAAGAGACACGUGUGGUAGAGAAGAUUCUACUCUCGCUACAAAAAAAGUUCCAUUAUAUGGUUAUCGUGAUAGAGUAAUCACAGAAUAUAGAUGUUCUCUCAAUAUAAAGUCUCAUGGAAAAAUUACAAGUCCAUAAGGAAAGAGUCGAUGAAAUUCAAAAGGAUGUAGACGCAUAAACACUUAUUUCAUAGCAAGAUAGUUCUGGAUUUUCCUAAAGGGAUAGAGGACAUGGACAAAACAAAUAAAGAGGAGUAAGAGGCAGAUUUGAAAAGGGAAGCCAAGACAACCUUAAUAGAUCAAUCAGUUGACCGCAUGAAACAAACUAGUUAAUUGGUUACAUCGAAAAUGACAAUCCAAAAUCCAGGUUUGACAAAUCAAAAGUUAAAUGCUAUAACAGUCAAAAGACAGGUCAUUAUGCUAGGGAUUGCUAGAUUCCAACCAAGAGGAUUGAGGAGAAUGAAAAUAUUAUAUAUAAUAUAAGAAGAGAAAGAAGCCACCCUAGUAUAAUUUCAUAAUAAGAGAAUGCGAGAAAAAGAGAAUUGGUGGUAUCUAGAAAAUUGAGCUAGCUACCACAUGUGUGGAGAUAAAGACAAGUUCAUAGAGCUUGAUAAAACAAUUAGAGGUAAUGUCACUUUUGCAGAUCAUUCAAAAGUUGUCAUCAAAGAAAAAUAAAUGAUUUUUGAUUAAAUUAAAAGAUGGAAUUCAUCAAUGUAUUUAUGAUAUCUAUUAUAUACUAACGGUGAAAAGCAACAUAUUGAGCUAAGGACAAUUGUUGGAGAAGGGAUAUGAGAUUAAGAUGAAAGAUCAUACUUUAACAUUACUUGACACUAAAAUAGUUAUGAUUACAAAGAUAACCAUGACAAAUAAUAUAAUAUUGUUGUCAAAUUUCAUAACCCAUUUUUUGAUUAUUUCCCAAGUUCACUUAUUUUUCUUCCAAAAAAAAAAUAAAUAAAAUGAAGACCAGUGACGCGGAGAAAGAAGGUCAAGGAGGAUCUCAAACAUAUAGGAAAAUCAACCUAUAAUUUUGGAUGAAAUUCGAAGCCUAAUUGUAUCUCAUUAUACUCGAGACUAAGAAAACAAUGUAGAUUCAAGGUCAAAUUAAAUGAUUAUUGGAUGAAUCUACAUAGAAAUUGUUAGAGAAUAAUAAUAUUAAGCUAUUGGGUUGAAAUGGUGUUUUGACAUGGUAUUAGAGCCUUGAUGACCAAGCGGUCACGAGUUUGAAUCCCACCAUCCCCAUUUAUUUGAUAAAAAUCAAACACAAGGUAAUUUAGGUCUGUGCAAGUUUCAAGCUCAAAAGACUUUCACUUGAGGGUGUGUGUUAAAGAAUAAUAAUACUAAUUAUAUCUCGAGACCUCACCUAAAAGUUUAAGCUAUUGGGUUGAGAUGCUUCUUUGACAUAAAUGAAGUUCAUAGGCAUAAUUAAAUUUUUAAUAGGCCAAUUUGAUCUAAUCAUGGGGCAAAUUAAAGUUUAAUUAUGUUUGAAAAUUAAUUUGAGUCGAAUUGAAGGAUUUAAUCAAGUGUAAAGAUGUAAUUAUGCUUUAAAUGAGUUAAAUUAAUUUUAUCAGGGGCUUAACUGGUAAAAAAUUAAGUUUGAAAGCCCAAUUUGGAUUUAUUUGAAAAGAUUUGAAUUUUAAGAAAUCAAAUUUAAUUUUUACAAAGUCAGGUAGUUGAAAGCAAGGCAAAAAUACAAGAAAAUCAAAAUUUUAUAAUCAAAUAAAAAUUAAAUUAAAACAAUUCGCAGUUAAUAACCAUUUUGCAGUGUUAUUAAAAUAUAUUCAUGUUUUUAACUUGUAUGACAUUGCAGCGCAUGUAAGGUGAUGAGGGAAGGUGUUAAGACUUACAGCGUUUUCAGAGAACCCGAUGUCCACACAUCUCCUGGGAUCACUCCAGCUAAAUUGAUGUUUCUCAAAACCCUUCAAAGAAAUUAAAGAUAGGCUUAAUUAGUUCUCAAUAGAACAUGUUCUCAAGUUUAUUUUAGACAUUUUACGGACAGUUGACGAACAAAUUUUUCACUCUGGGGGGGAUGGUGGUUAAAUUAGACUCUGGUCCAGACAUAUCAGUGAUCCUCCUGUACAUUGAAAACAAAAGAAUGUUAUAGUUCCCUUUAUUCUUUCUGCCUUCUUCAAAGAGGAAACACCAAAAUUAUUGUAUUUAUUGCUGUGCAUCUCAGGAAGUAGUUUGACUCACAAAUCUCUCAACUUCUCUAAAGAAAGAAUGGCAGGAGGUAUGGGCCCUUCUAGUCCACUUGCGUAUAAUUCACUUCGUUUGUCCAAAGAGGAAAAACAAAAUAUCAGAAUAUUGUGCAACAUGUAGCAGAGAAAUGAAUUAACGAAAUUAUCAUGCAGAUAGAGAUCCUCACAGUCUAACAAGAUAACUCCAGUUCCCAAUGAAAUCAGGUAUUCUGCCACUAAGAUUAUUAUCACUUGCACGACUGCACAUUGCAAAACCGAAUUAAGGAAACCAGAUGCUAUUGAAUCAUCAAAAACUGUGUUUAAAGAAGAAAGGAAUUGAUUACUUACAAAUCAGUCAAGUUUAGCUUAGCGAGAGUAUUUGGCAAGUAUCCCUCCAACUGAUUGGAGGAAAGUAUCCUGCAACCAUUAAUUCAUAGCACAGCAUCAAAAUUGCAACUAAAAUGCCUAGCUUGCGUUGGUUUAAUAAUGAUGAGCAGUUAAAUGCCUUACAGGGCUGUUAAGUUGACAAGAUCACCAAGCUGAGAAGGAAUAGUACCAGAAAACUGAUUUGCUUCAAGGGACCUUCAUGUAUUUGUAUUUGAUUAAUUGACAAAAAUAAAUUUAGUGAACCAAGUAAGCUAGCAUUGUCAAAAACAGAAACAGAAAACAAAACAAAUGAUAAAUCAGCAGAACAUAUAUUUAUGACUUCAAUACAUACAAGUAAGUAAGGCUACGAAAACUUCCCAAGUACCCAGGAAUAUUUCCUGACAAGCGAUUGGAUGUAAGUGAGCUGCAUGCAUAAAAUGUAUCUAGUUAUGGUGAAUUCUGCCUUGUGUAUGAACUGGUAAGCAAAGAUGAGGUGAAUGAACUUACAGGUUUGUCAAAUGUUUCAUUGAAGCCCAUUCCUCAGGAAUAUUGCCAGAAAUGUAGUUGCGAGUUAGGUCACUGUAACAGAUAAUAUAUCUUCAAUACUUGAGAAUUUAACUUCUUCCUUUAAAAAAUCUUCUCAACCCAGUAGUUUAAGCUGUUAGGUGAGGUUUCAGUAUAUGAUUUAUAUUAUUCUCUAACACACUUCCUUAAAUGAAAGCCUUUUGGGCUUGAAAUUUGCAUAGACUCAUAUUACCUUAUGCUUAAUUUCUAUCAAAUAAAUAAGGAUAGUAAGAUUCAAAUUGGUGACUGAUUGGUCAUCAAGGUUCUGAUACCAUGUCAAAAAACCAUCCCAACUCAAUAGCGUAAGCUGUUAGGUGAGGUUAUAUGAUAUAAUUUAUAUUAUAUAUACUCAAAUUUUACGGGAUCAAACCUAAACAUUAUUGUUCAAGAUUUACUAUAUUUUUCUAAUUAAUUUAAAAUUGUUUAACCUAUUUAAUGUAUAUCUCUUUAAUUAUUUUAAUUUCUUGGUAUCCGAAUAGGUUUUAGAGUUGUAAUAUUGAGUUUUUGAUUAUUAAGAUUACUGGAAAGAAAUCAUUCAAUAAUAAUAAAAAUGAAUUAAGGUUUAUGUAUUUUUUUUAUUCUCGUUUGUUAGGUUUAAUUAGCUGCGUCAAAUAUGCUUCUUCCUUUUUAUUAUUAUUAUUAUUAUUAAGGUAUUUCCAUUCCACAAUUUAUAAAUUAGUCGUUAAAAGUUACAUUGAGAUUCUACAAGCAAUACACAUAGAAACAGAAAUAAAAUAUAUCCUGAAAAGAUUCUUACAGAUAUUUGAGAUAUGUAAGGCUGGCCAUUUCAGGCAGGAGCUUGCCUUGAAGACUGAGCGUUUUGAGAGAUCUGUUAUUGAAAAAAACAUCAUGGGUACAUAAACAAAUGAUUAGAUGAUUGAAAAAUAAACUAAAAAAUUUACAGAUAAUUAAUUUAAACAUAGGAGCAAUGUAUCCAAUCUAUUUAAAAAUGGGUUAAAAAAUAAAUAUAGAAGACAAAAAAUAAUAAUCUUACAAUGACGUGAUAUGACAAUAACUAUCAUUAUUGAGGUUGAGGGUGCAAUUGCAUACGGUGGUGCUAUUGGCUUCUGAAUCUUGGUUGCAAGCAUCGGCCAACUCCAAGGGUUGCCCACCCUGUGUCAGUGUCUUGUCAAUUUGUUUUAACGCCGUCACUAGUUUAAGGAUCAUGCAUCCACGGAAAAUUUUAUCAAAAUAUAUAUAUAUCCAUAACAUAACUCAUAUCACCCAAAAAAAAAAAAACUAAUAGUUUUCAAGUGGUAUUCUAACACAAUAAAAUGGUAAAAAAUAGAAAUAAAUAAUUAAAAUAUAUAAAUAAAGUAAACGGAUUGUAUAUUAACUCCACAAUUUAAUUAUAAAUAAUUCAAAGUUCUCCUUUUCAAUUUGUUGCAUGUAUUUUAGGAGAAUUGGAAAUCAAAAACACUUUUUUAUUAACUCGUUUAUAUGUUUUAAUUUUUUUUACUGAAUAAAUUUUUUUAAUCCCACUUAUUAUUUUAAAUUAAUUUUGUUUGUUUACUCUUAAUAUCAAAUACGUAUUGUUUGUUUUUCUUAAUAAAUAGAACAUGUAAGAUAAAAAAAAAAAGGACACCAAAAAUAUUUUUGAUUUUUUUAAAAAAUGAAUAAUGCUUUGACAUAGUGUUAGAACAUAAAAUAAGUUUCAAAUCUUAAUCAACAGCUUUCACAUAAAAAUAAUAUGAAGAUACAACUUAUUUACGUUUAAGUUAUUGGAUCCAAAAUUGUAAAAGGUAUGGUCAUAUUGUGUGUAUUUACACAGGCUAUCAAAUGAUAUACGAGAGACAAUAACUAGCUUUCCUUCUUGUUAAUGUAUCGACCAUGUGAUAACAUUUACAGAAUUGAAGAAAAUUACAAUAAUCAUGAAAUAACAAAAAUCAUCCAAAAGUGAAAAACAAAACUCCUUAUUAUAUCCCAGAUCCGCGUAAUUACUAUAUAGUAAAAAAACAAUAGUUAAAUAAGGGAAUUUUAAAAAUUAGAGGACAAAAUACUAAUAAGGGAACUCAAAAAAUAAAAACUAACUUGAAUUAAAUAAUAAUAUUAAUAUUAUUCAUAUAUUGAAAAAUCAUGCCCCAUUUUCUUAUGUUCUUUUUCUCUAAGUUUUUUUUUUUUUAGUUCAAUGGGCAUUUUUUUGGUAUAAAAAAGGUUUUUGUAAUAUUUUCUUAAAAGUGAGAGAGGUUUUAUUAAAUAUUCAAACUUUUUUUCAUACUCUUUGUAGUUUCCAAAUACCUCGAGAAUUAUUGUAAUUUGCAGAAAAAAGAAAUCUGACACACAUUAAAUAAUUUAUUCAUCUUUAAUAUCAUCCCGGCCCAAAUGAGCAGUUUCCUGUUGGAUGCACAGUUGAGAGUGAAUGUACGGAUUUGAGCCCUUUCUUUUCAGAAUUUCCUUUUAUGUCCUUACCUCUUUACUUAUUUUUCUGUAGCUGCAGUGUAAAGUGAAGAAAUGAUUCUCCAAUAAAGUAAUUCAUGAGCAAUGAACAAUAAAUUUAUAUUAAUGAAUUUCUUAAUCUUAAAGUAUGAGGUUAUACGUAGUUGUAAGCAAAUCUGUGGAUAUGUGACUUAGCACACCAAUGGAAUGGAAAGUCGUGGAAAUUAAUUAGCUCAGAUUAUUACAACACUCCAUAUAUUAUUGCAAUAAAAACAAAGCUUACUCUCUUACCUUCGUCUGGAUGUAACUGAUAUGAGACAACCAAAGUAGCAGAACUGAAAAGAGUGAUCACGACCACCAUUACUCGGCAAAACUGAAGAAGUCCAUGCGGAGGCUGGAGCGUCGUGAACAUGUUGGGUGGAGGAGUAGGAAAGAAGCUUGAAUAAGUUUUCAUUUUAUGAGGUACGUACUUGAUUUAUACUGGACGUACGUGGGGACAAAUUCUUAAAUUUGUGAGAAUGACCUUUAGCCACUAGAUUUGAUGAUUCCUUUCAUUUCUAUCUCUCCAAACCGAUAAUUAAUUAUGAGUUGGACAAGUUUAAGCUGCUCAUCUCUCCAGCCAUUCAUUUCUCCCCUUCUCUUUUCCUUCAUCGGCCUAAAUUAAUGAUAAAAUUAACUACAACACGGUAAUACUAAUUCUUUGGCCGAGUCCAAUAAGAAUUAUGGUGUGUGUGUAUAUAUAUAUAGAGGAUAUUUUUAAGAUAUUUAUCUUAAAAAAUCUAUAUAAACCAAUAUUUUUAAAAGCAUAAAGAAAAAGGUUAAAAGGCCAAAGUCUCUAGAUAACACAAGUCUAAUAUAAAAUUUAAAUAAGAUUUAAGUAACAUUCAAAUCUAAAGAAUACUCACUCUUCACGUCACCUGUACAAAUACUAUAUUGACUUAAGCAUUAAAAUGUUUUUUUUUUGUAAGUGUUACAAGCUAGGCCCACCAGGUCCUCCGGAUCCAAUUUUAUUAGCCUAGGAAAAGCGCUCACAAUCUUUCUCUUGAGAAUUUUUCCAGCCUCAUCAAUUGACAUCAUUUGUGGAAAAUAAACAAAAAGUCAAUUCAUUAAUGUUUUUUAAAAACUUUUUCAUGGCUGACAAUAUAUCUACGGCUACGCCAACAACACAUGAUGCUAGCAGCUAAGCCAAUGACAUAUGAAGCCAACAGCUAAACCAACGGUUAAGCCGAUCGAUUACGCCCCAUAUGGCUAUGUUAGUGGCUAUACCCAAGGAAACACCCACGAUGAUGCUCACAACUACGUCUAUGGCUAUGCCCCAACGCUACACCCACAAAUAACUUUUGUAUCACCCGGAUAUCGCGACGACCGUUAAAAUUUUUCUUGGAAAAAGAAUAAAUAUCUAGCAUCUUGUUAUUCGGGAAAACGGUCUCGUUUAAGGAGUUGUCAUCUAGUCUAAAAUUGCGAAGUGUUUUGCCAUCUAGUCUAAAAUUGCGAAGUGUUUUGUCCUCCCUUUUUUAAUUUUACUAUCAUGUUCUUGACUCUAGCGUCAAUAAAUAGUGCCUGUAAAUAUUUCCAACUCUGACAUUGGUAAAUAUUGCACAAACCCAAAAAACAUAUGAUAUUGUUGACUUUGACGCCAGUAAAUAAGUUCGUGAAAUUUUGAAUUUUGAAUGAAGAAGAAACAAUUUUUCUAUGUCUUUUUCUUUUUGUUUACGCUUUUAUUGUUUACUCUAUUUAGACAACAAUGAAAAAAAAAAGUAUUAAACAACAUAUUUGCAUUUAACAGUAAUGGUCCAUAAAUUGAGUAUAUUGCAGAAAAAAAUAAACAAAACGCAAAAGAAAAAAAAAUAAAACAAAGCACAAGGGGUCCACAAAUAAAUCCAUGAAGAUCCCCAUAUAUUUUAGAAUUUUCUAAUAUUAAAAAAGGGCUUGUUCGACCAAAUUUUAAAAUAAAAGAGAAAUAAAAUAUAUUGAAAAGGCAGCUUGUUUUGCCAAACACACUCUCAUCUUUAAAUAGGGGCUUGUGUGGUAGUCUUCCAGCACGCCUUUUCCUUCUUGGGAGGAGGAUAAAGCUCGUUGGGGUGUUAGUAUCCUGCUGGGUCUCGAAUUCCAGGAGUCCUGCCACUAGAGGGCUGUUGGUGGUGGCUUUCUUCACGCCUCCAAUGGCAUCUUGUGGGAGAUGACCUGGGAAAACAGUGAUGGAAGUCGUGGGGAUUGCCUUGCGUUUGUGGGUUGUCUGUGGUAAUCGGCCUUUUCCUUUGCAGGGUGACUCCUCCGUUUCUAGAAGAAGAAGACAAUGAAUAGAAAUGAAAAAACGACGCUAUUUCUGGACUAGGGUAACCGUUUUUCAAUUUGGUCCUCUAAGUUUUAACAUUUGUUUUAAUCGGACCCUUGGGCCAAAUUGUAAUUGAACACCUACAUUGUGGCACCGUUUACAUAAUGGUCCUUGGACUUUAAUUUCUUGCAAUUUGAACCUAAAUUAGUUCUGAGCUUUAAUAUUUCUUCAAUUAAGCUCAUUGGUUUCAUUAAUUAAACUAAUUCUAAGCUUAAUUAAAUCCACGACUUAUUAAUUCUUUCAAUUUCUAUCAAAAGUGAAUCCUAAAUUUAUAAAUCCAUAUUAUUUUAUAAUAAUAAUUAACAAGAACUAAAAAAAAAACGAGGGUACUUCACUAACCCUUCCUCUCACAAAUCAUUGUUAAUUGGAAUAAUUAUUUAUUUUUAUUUUUUUAAUAUAAUUUUAUUUUUAUUUCUCAACAUUAGAUUACUAGAGAUUGAAUUUUUUAAUUUUUUUUCUAUAUGGUUAUUUUAUUCUCAUGAUCCAAGUCAUGAGUUUUGCAAAUUAAUUUAAUUAACUUAAUUUUUUGUGUCUCUUUUUUAAUUGAAUAUUUUUUUUAGUUUCUUCUUCAACAUUGGGUUAAUUGUAAUUAAAUUUCAUAAUUUGUAUGGAGUUAUUCUAACCUUGUAACACAAGUUUGGAAUGUUAAUUCGGGUUGAUUCAGGUCAUUUUUUUAAUUGAUUUUAUUCUUCAACAUUGAAUUCAUUAGGAAUUGAGAUUAAUAAUUAUUUUUCUAUUUGCUUUUUAGAGGGUCAUCAUAGUUUCAUGACAUGUGUCUUGGAUUUUACUUUUCUUUUUUUAAUUGAUUUUUUUUCAAUUACAUCCUUCGUUAUUGGGAAUUGAUCUUUAUAAUAUUUCUCGAUUUGUUUUUUAUAGGAUUAUCCCGGUUUCAUGAUCCAAGUUCGACAGGUUAACCGAGGUUAAUUCAAAUUGUUCUUUUUUAAAUUGACUUUUGUUUUCAAUUUCAUCAUUCAACAUUGAGCUAAUUAAGAAUUGAAUGUUAUUUUUUUCUUAUUUAUUUUUUAUAGGGUUAUCACGGUCUCAUGACCUGGGACGUGGAUUCGACAAGUUGACCUGAGUUAAUCCGAGUCAAUCUAAUAUGUUUUUUUUUUAAUAUUUACAAAAAAAAAUAUAAUCUUGAAUUUUUCUAGCUUGACAAUUAUAGCUAGAUACUAGCUAAAUUAUUGUUCUUGCCUAUUAAAAAGUUUAGAAGACAAGUACAAAUAAACAAUCACCUCAAAAGACAAAUAAAAAACAUAAUUUGUUUUUUUUUAAAUGAUAAUAAAUAAAUAAAAAGAAAUAAUAAUAUGAGGCAAUUACCCAGAUUCAAUUUAAAAGAAAUAAUAAUAAUAAUAUUAGAUUUACUUUACUAAUUAGUAAAUGUAACAUAUUGAAAUAUUCAAAUUGUUUUUGAAAAUCAAGAUAAUAAUUCUCGUAUGAAUCUUCUCCUGGUAUUUUCUAUGGUUCUCCUAGUUAGUUGCAGGUUGCAAGAUGUUGAAAUUUAAAAGAUAAGGAGGCAGGCGCAUUUAGAGGCAUUUGAGCCACAAAUUUAUUGACUACAAGCUAUUAUAUAUGUUGAAUGAUUCACAUCACUAGCGCCGUCGGCUGCUAAAACUCUCAGAUAUUGACUUGAAACUUGCUAAGAACGUACUGAAAACGAGAGAGAUUCCCAUCAGAAAAGAGAGAAAGAAAAGGGAUUUAUCCUUGUAUACAUUGCUUGAAGUUCAUUCCACAGGCAAUUAAUUAAUUAAGUAGGUAGCAAGGUUGUUCUUACCUUCUCCUGGAUGUAGCUGAAACAUCAUUAACAUCUUGUGCUGCAAAAUUGGCUGCAAAAGCUCGAAUAAGUUUUUGUAUUUGUCGAGAGACAGGCAGGGAAGGAGAGGUUCAUUUGAUUUAUACUUGCCAAAUCUUAAAACGUCACAUCCAUGGGCGUACGUACUUGUAUCCUAUGUCAUUUCUCUGGGGCGAUAUUUGAAUUCAAUUUUAACUUUUUACGAACCUGAUAAGAGAUUUAUUUCUUUUUAAAGAGUUAUUGGUUUUUCCAUAACACGUCUAAUUUUACAAUCACACAUAAUUUAUUUAAAAUCAUAUUAAUAUUUUAUAUUAAAGAAUUUAUAUUAAAGAUUAAAUUUUAAUAAUUUUUUUUAAAAUAUAAUUGGACUCUGCUUUUAAUCUAGUCUAAAAUAUACCUAUAUUAUAAAUAAAAUUACAAUAAUCUUCUAUAUAAAUAUAAAUUGUCUGCAAAAAUUAAAAACGACUCUAAAACUUGUAGAGAAGUAUUGAUUUGAUAGAUCACUAUUUUAUAUAUAUAAUUUUUGGCUUUAAAUUUUUUCUAAGUGAAAUAUCAUUAUAGUUAAACAUAAUAUCUUAAAAUAUUCGGUAUUUUAUGUAAAUCAAGAGGAUAAUAAUAGUGGUAUGAAUCUUCACCUGGUAUUUUCUUGGGUUCUCCUAGUUGCAGGUUGCAAGAUGUUGAAAUUUAAAAGAUAAGAAAGCAGAGAGAUUCCAAGUAGAAUUUUCUGCUUUUUUUCUUUUUUAAUACUGAUUGAUGUAGACAUAGACCAAUCUCUUUUCCACCUGGUGCUAAAGGACAACAAGCUAUUAUUUGGAGUUUAUGAUAGACUCAAAUGCAUGCAUUUAUAUAGCUAGUUGGUGCAUAAUUGACAGUUUCAUUCUUGUUGCUGGUUUAUUUUUAUGUUUUAAAAAUGUUUUUAGUGAAAAAUUAAAAUUUUAUUUAUUUUUUAUUUUAAAUUAAUUUUUUAUAUUUUUAAUUUGUUUUGAAUUUAUUAUAUUUAAAUUUUUUUAAAACAUAAAAAAAUAUUAUUUUAAUAUAUUUUAAUUAAAAAAUACUAUGAAAUAAAGCAGCCAUCGGUUUUUAUGUAAAUGAACACACUCUCGUUAUAACACAAAAAUAGUCUCGUGACCUGUAUGGGUUGUGCAUGUAUUAUAAAAAAUAAAUCCCGUUAUUUUUCAGAAAAUACUUUGUGAAUGUAAAUUUUUUUUCAAAUGAACACGCUCUCGAUGAAGUGUAUUUUUUUUUAUUAUUACUUAUCCAAUGGUCUAUUCUAUUUUAUUUUUCAAAUUCUUUUGAUAAAGUGUAUAUUUUUCAAUUUCAAUAAUGAUUUCGCACCCAGAUAUACAAAUAGAUAAGAAAUCACCAUUUGUGGAGAAGGUGAGUUUACAGUGUGGGUGUCAUUUAUUUUCAAGCGGCUUGAAAAUUAUUAUUAAUUGACAGUGCAACGGGUAUUAUUUAUUUGAUCUCAAUUAAUUUAACAUCUUAUUAGUCUAAACAUUAAUAAUAACUCGAGUUCGAGUCAUGGCGUGCAUCUCUUGUAAGAGCCUGAGACAGCGGGGGUUUAAGUGCACUUCUUGUAAGAGCCUGGGACAGCCGGGGUUUUACUCCCUCACCUGGGCCCACAAAGUGCGCUUUCCGGGGAGGUGAGGUUUCCUUGAAUCCAAAAAAAUUAAUAAUAACUCAAAAUACAAGUUGACAUAAAAUAAGAAUUUGAAAACAAUGAGCAUUAAUCUCAUACUAGAGCAACAAAACAGUGAUUUAUAAAGAGAAAUAAACAGAUCUAGGGUUGGAACCAAAAAACGAAAAUUACCUUAACAACCAACAACCAGCAGACCGGUUUGCUAACCCAUUAUAAAUUAUAGCUUUGGUGUCUGAAUGAAACCGGAUUUAGUUUAUGUUUUGAGGUUGUUGAUUAUAAGGUUAUUUUUGUUUUUUGUUUUUUUUUUUGGGUUUUUUUGUUGUCAAGGAGAAAUCAAUAACAAGUAAAUGAGAAGAAAAAAAUGUUACGAUGGUUAUUAUUUUGUGGGUUGUGCAGCAGCAAUGACGAUUGUACUGUGAGACUUGUUACAGUUAGGGUGAAUUGAAUGUAAAGAAUGUGAAUUGAAAAUGAUCGAGAAGAGAAAGAGAAGAGGGUGUUUGUUUAGCAGAUUCAGAAUGUUCAACCUGCAUGUGGUCCAAAUUGCAAAAGCAGAAAAUAAUUGCUCCUCCUUGUGUUAAUGAUCCAAUUACUGGGGCCUUUCUUUAUUAAAAAAAAAAAAAGGGAAAUGCAAACAUCAAAGUUUACCGUUAACUUGACAUGUAACUCUUAUAUUGACGUUAUUACACAAUAAUAAUUACUAGCUCAUUUCUCUUUUAGUGAAAGUAUUAUUUAUUUUAUUUAACUCAUUCCCAAAUCUUUAAUUUUAUUUAAUAUGCUAAUAUUCUUGACAUUGCAUAUACAACUUUUCAAAAUUCACAACUAACAACUUGAUUUCCAAAACUAUCUUUAAAUUUCAAAACUUUCUUGCCUUACAAUGAGUAUUCAUGCCAUCACUGAUUUUUUUGUUUUUUAUGUUUUUAUAGGUUUUUUUUUUGUGUUUUUUUCUUUUAAUGAAUUUUUUUGUUUAAUUUAGUUUGUUAAUAUGAAAUUUUUUUUAUUUAGUUGUUAGAUUUUCAUGACAUGAAUCUCGGGUUUGACGGGUUAACCUGGUUUGAUGAGUUAAUCCAGAAUUUUUUUUUAUUUUUUUCUUUUCAAUCAAUUUUUUUCGUUUAGUUUAUCUAUUAUAAUUAUAAUUAUAAUAAUAUAACUUAUAUAUUAUAAUUAUACUUAUAAUAAUAUAAUAAUAAUAAUAAUAACAUAUACUAAAAUACUCAAAGCUGUCUUUUUUUUAUCUUUUUUGUUUUUAAUUUUUUUGCUGUUUUUAUUUAUUUAUUUAUUUUUUGCCUUCUUUGUGUUUUUUCUUUUAAUAUUUUUUUUUAAUUUAGUUUGUUAAUGUUAAUUUUUUUUUUAAUUUAGUUAUCAGAUUUUCAUGACAUAGAUCCCGAGUUUAACGGGUUAACCCGGAAUUUGUUUUUUGCUUUUUUUCUUUUUAAUUAAUUUUUUUCAUUUAGUUUAUUUUGUUAAUGUUAAAUUUCUUUCUAUUUAAUUAUCAGACUUUCAUGACACAUAUCCCGGGCUUGAUGGGUUAACCUGGUUUAAUAGUAUAACCCUGUUAACCCAUCAAUUUUUUUUUCUAUUUAGUUAUCAAACUUUCAUGACGCGAAUCCUAGAUUUGACGGGUUAACCUGGUUUGAAGGGUUAACCUAGUUAAUUCAAAUUUUUUUCGUUUUCCUCAUAAGUUUUUUUUCUUCAUGUUGGUUUUUUUUUCUUUAUUUUUUGCUUUUGUUCCUUCUUUUUACAUGUUUUUUUUUAAAAUUGACUUCUUCUUCUUUUAUUUUAUUUUAUUUUUUUUCAAAAUUAUCUUUGUCAAUUUUUUAAAAUAUUGAACUAGUUGGGAAUCUAGCUAUGUAGUUUUUUUCUUUAAAACAUUGUGAAUUGCUACAAUAUUUCCCUACAUGGUUUUUUUCUCUCUUUUUAUGAUUUUAUUUUCAAAGUGGUCUUUGUCGAUUUUAUUUUUUUUAUAUUAAGCUGGUUGAGAAUUUAGCUUCAUAGUUUUUUCAAAAAUAAUACCGUGGAUUGCUACAGUGUUUCCUCCACGUGGUUUUUGUUUUGCUGCAGUGUUUCCCCAUAUUUUUUUUUAAAUUAUCUUUGUCCAAUUUAUUUUUUUAAUAUUGAGCUAGUUGAGAAUUGAGCUUUAAUUUUCCCCAUGUUUUUUUUUUAUAUUUUUUUUGUUUUUCCAAAAUUGUCUUCUUCUUUAGUUUUUUAUUUUAGAAUCUUUUUUGUUGAUUUUAUUUUUUUACAGUGUCCCCAGGCACNNNNNNNNNNNNNNNNNNNNNNNNNNNNNNNNNNNNNNNNNNNNNNNNNNNNNNNNNNNNNNNNNNNNNNNNNNNNNNNNNNNNNNNNNNNNNNNNNNNNCAUUAUUUACAGUGUUCCCCACAUAUUUUUGCCUUGCUAUAGUGUUUUCCUACAUGUUUUAUUUAAUCAAUUUUUUUAUCAAAAUUUGUUUUAUCGAAUUUAUUUUUUUCAUACUGAGCUGAUUGAAAAUUUAGCUUUGUAGUUUUUUUUUCUUUAAAACAUCGUUGAUUGCUAUAAUUUUUCCCCAAAUGAUUUUUUUUUUUAUGAUUUUUUUCAAAAUUAUCUUUAUUGAUUUUAUUAUUUUUAAUAUUGAGGUAGAUGAAAAUUACAACUAUAGAUUUCCUCAUGAAACACUAUAGAUUGCUACAUUGAUUCCCUGCAUGGUUUUUUUUUCCUUUUGUUUUUUUGUGAUAUUUUUCAAAAUUAUCUUUGUUGAUCUUAUUUUUUUAAUAUUGAGCUGGUUGAGAAUUAUAAUUGCAUAUUUCCUCAUAAAAUACUAUAGAUUGCUACAGUGUUUUUUUAAAUGAUUUUAAUGUCGAACUGGUUGAGAAUUUAGCUUUAACUUUCCCCACAUGUUUCUUUUUCCAUUUUUUAUUUUUUUUUGCUUUUUUUUUUCCAAAAUUGCCUUCUUCUUUUUUUUUUUUUUAUUUAGAAUUAUUUUUGUUGAUUUUAUUUUUUUAAUAUUGAGUUGUUUAAGAAUUUAGCUUUAUAGUUUUUUUCCUUUGAAACACUGUGGAUUACUGCAGUGUUUUCCCACUUGGUUUUUUUCCUUUUUUUAUGAUUUUUUUUCUAGAAUUGUCUUUGUUGAUUUUAUUUUUCUUAUAUUGAGUUGGUUGAGAAUUUAGCUUCGUAGUUUUUUUUCUUUAAAACACUAAGGAUUGCUACAAUAUUUCCCUACAUGAUUUUUUUAAAAAUUAUAUUUAUCGAUUUUAUUAUUUUUAAUAUUGAGCUGGUUGAGAAUUACAACUUUAGAAUUUCUUAUAAAACACUAUAGAUUGCUACAAUGUUUCCUUACUUGGUUUUUUUUCCUUUUUGUUUUUUUCUGAUUUUUUAAAAUUAUCUGUCAAUUUUAUUUUUUUAAUAUUGAGCUGGUUGAUAAUUUAGUUUUGUAGUUUUUUCCUUGAAAAUAUUAUGGAUUCCAAUAAUUUUUCUUUAUAUGAUAUUUUUUUUAUAAUUUUUUCACAAACCCACGAUAACGCACAAGCCCGCGGUAUCACACGGGCAUGACAUCUAGUGAGUAUUAAAGUGAUGUCUUUUUUUCCUUCUGAAACAGGGCAUGGGCAUAGAACAACACUUACAGGAGUAGAAGUUGGAGUAGAUUUAACAGCAGCAGAAAAAAUAUGGACAAUAUUUAGAGCAAUCGGCGAUAUGGCAUUCGCUUGCGCGUAUUCUGUCAUUUUGUUUGAAAUUCAAGUAAGAUUUCGAGAAUAUUGAGCAGAAUUUCUGAGUGCCUGAAACAAAAGUUAAGAGCAUAGUCAACAAUGACAAUAUUAAUUUACAGCCAUAUCAGUUAUGUUUUUAACCUAUCUAAAUAGCCAUCUAUUUUUAAUGGAGGUGGUCAAUUUUAAGGACUAAAAUCAGAAAAACAAAAGGUUAGGGGCUGAGUUGGGUUUGACUAAAAGCUCAAGGGUCUUUGACCAAUUUGCUUUUCCAUAAUCCUGAUGCGUGACCGAAUGUUAAAUAGCAAGGCUAAAUUACCUCGUACUUACCAAAUCUUACAACGUCACAUCCAUGUGCCAGAGUACUUGUAUCAAUUUUAACUUCUUACAAUCAUUAUAAAAAAAAUAUUUCUUUUUAAAGAGUUAUUGUUUUUUCAUAACAUGUAAAUAGUUUUUUUUAUUUUUAUUUUUCAAUCACAUAUAAUUUUUUUAAAAUCAUAUUAAUAUUCCAAGUUAAAGAUUUUAUAUUAAAAAUUAAAUUCCAAUAAAAUUUUUUACUCCAAAAAUAAUUAAACUCCAUUUUUAAUUUAGUUUAAAAUAUACCUGUAUUAUAAAUAAAAUUCCAACAAUCUAAUAAAAAUUAAUAUAAAUUGUCUGAAAAAAUUAAAAAUAAUUCCAAGAUUUAUAGAGAAAUAUUGAUUUGAUGAAUCACUAUCUUAGAUGGAUAGUUUUUUGCUUUAAAUCUUUUUAAGUGAAAUACCAUGAGAUUUACUCAGUUAACUAAUAAACAUAAUAUUUUAAAAUAUUUAAUUUUUUAUAUAUAUAAAUCAAGAUAAUAAUAGUGGUGUGAAUCUUAACCUCGUAUUUUCUUUGGUUCUCCUAGUUGUAGGUUGCAAGAUGUUGAAAUUUAAAAGAUAAGGAGGUAGGCUGCUAAAAAGCAUUUUCAUGGAAAAACUCUCAGAUAUUUAAACCUGACUUGUCAGUUUAUUGACUUGAAACAUGCUAAGAAUAUACUGAAAACAAGAGAGAUUCCAAUCAGAAAAGAGAGAAAGGAAAAGGAUUUAUACCUUAAUCUCUUAAUAAAAGACCCACAGUGCUUGAAGUUCUUUCCAUUGUGAUUUUUCAAUGGUUUUUUUUUAAUCCGUGAUUGUUCACCACUGGCUAUAAAGUGCACUAAGAACACGAAGGUUUUUUGUUACUUUCAAUGCUGUAAAGUGCACUAAGAACUUCAUCAUCAAUUGUUCACUAAUACUGAUUGAGGUAGAUAUAGACCAUAGUUUUAAAAUCCGACUCGAUCAUCGAUUCGGUUUAGUAAUUGGAUCACGGGUCAGAUAGGUUGACCCAGGUAAACCAAAAAAAAAAAAAACUUAUACAAAACACCUAACUAGUUACAAAUUUACAAUGCAACACUUACAUAAAUCAAAUUUAAAUUUUAAACUAAUAACAUAAAUUUAAUUCAAUAUCCAAAACACAAAUCAAAUAUAAAUUCUAAAAUAUUUUAAACAAAAUAUCCAACAACAUAAAUUCUAAAUCAACAACACAUUCACUUUUGUUGAAUGAACACAUUAAGUUCUUUUGUGUCCAUGGAAGCAAAAUUUGGAUCAAAUGUCGAUGGAAUUGAGCCAAUCUCGUCAACACCUAAUAAAUCAUCAGCAUACUUCUUUGAAACUUCAUCAUCACAAUCAUCUUCAAUCUCAUUAACAUUUAUGACAUCUACAUUUCAAACACAAUUAACAAAUAAAUAUUAUGUGUUAAACAAUACUUUAUUUUAAUAAUAUUUAUCACUAAAUGUUAAACAAUACUUUAUUUUAAAUAAUAUUUAUCACUAAAUAAUCAAUCAUUAAUUACCAUCAUCUAAAGUAUCUUGUAUGGUCAUAGUUGAUAGAGCUUAGUGAAAACUCUGUUUCUUCAGUUGUCAAAAUUGACGGGUCAUCUUCCACAUUAAUUGGAUCAUAAUUUCGUCCUUUCCAAUAAUUCCUAUAUAUUAAAAGUGAAGGUUAACACAAUAUAAGUAUUAAUAAUACUACUAAAUAAGAUAAAAUAAUAUUUAAGGAAUUAGAGAAAAGAAAAAUACUUUUGUUUCAAUCUUAGAUUGCAGUGGACGUAAACAAGGUCAUUAAACCUUUGGUGCUCCAAUCUAUUUCUCUUCUUGGAGUGAAUAUGUUCAAACAUACUCCAAUUUCUCUCGCAUCCCGAAGAACUACAAGUUUGACUUAACAGUCGUAUAGCCAACUGUUGUAGAUUUGGAGCACUAGUUCCAUAUGUCAUCCACCAUUUAUCUAUACAAAAAAAUAAUAAGUAAGAGUGUAAGAAUGUCAAAUAAUAUUUUUAAAUAUAAAAAUUAUAUACCUGGAGGCAUAAGGGUGCGAUUAUUUAUUGUGGACACUCGACCAAAGUCAUGUUCAGCAUUCCUAAACAACUUCAUCUCACUUGUAAUCUUACUUUGCAAUGGUAGAUUUCCAUGUGCAUACUUCUCAAGAACAUCUAGAAGUCCAGAAAUGGUGCUCAUAUGUUUAUCCAUUAUAUUUGCAUCAUAUUAAAAUCGAGGAUUCAACCAAAAUGCCGCUACAUAAAGAUUUCUAUAUUGCUGUCCAUCCCACCGAUUAUUGAUAAUGUCUAUGAAAUGUUUCACUCUAGCCUUUCUCUUUUUAAAUCUCCUCAUCAUUUCUUCUUUUGCAUGAUGAAUAGCAUCAUACAAAUAUCUCAUCGAAGGUCUAUCAUCACCAUCAACCAUUCUUAGAGCUCGAACUAAAGGUUCACUCAUUCGCAUAAUUAUUGCAUAUUCUUCCCAAAACAGAGAGUCUAGCACACUCUCAACAAACUUUUUUCCUUUACUAUCUUUAGCAUAAGCAGACGAGACCCAUUCCCUAGAUGUCACCAUAGCUCUCAACUCAUCUUUAUGAGCUAAAAUGCUUUGCAAUGCAAUGAAAUUUGUAGCAAAAUGAGUAGGAGCUGGACGAAGUAUUUCUUUUCCUUUAGUGAACUUCCUCAUCAAAUACAAUGGCUAACAAUAAUUAUAAAUGUAUUUUGUGAUACCAGAAGCAUGCUUAACAACACAACAAAUAAACUAAAAUUUACCAAUGUCCUGGAGUAUGAGAUUGAUACAAUGAGUAGCACAAGGAGACCAAAAUAUUGAAGGAAAUUCCUCCAUCAAUAACCUGCCAGCAACAACAUAAUUUGCAUCAGUCACCAUAUGCACAAUGUUUUCUACCCCAACAUACAAAACAACCUCUCUAAACAACUGUUACAACAAUCUAGCAGUCUUUGAGACAUUUGAUACAUCCACAGUUUUCAAAAAAACUGUUCCUUUAGGACAAUAUACUAAGAAGUUAAUUAAAGUCCUCCUCUUCUGAUCUGUCCAUCCAUCAGCCAUUAAUGUGUGACCAGUCUUCUUUCAAAUCUCUCGAUAACUCUCAACAUAAUUCUUCACUUCAUCAACCAUUUUUGCCAAGUAAUAACCACAAAUAGCAUGCAAGUUUGGUCCUUUAUAACCAGGACCCAUGGUUGUUACAACAUUUAUGGCAUGCUGAUAAUACACAGAGUUAACAGCAUUAAAUGGCACACAUGCAUCAAUCAUCCACUUCGCUAAAGCAAGAUCACACCAUUCAACUGCUUCUUUCCUUUGUCAACAAUUUUGAAGAAACUUUUGAGCACCAGGAGUUGUUCUCGGCAUGAAAUAUGUCCCUAAUGUUGCAGAUUUCUUCUGCUUUCCAUAACUUAUAGUUGAUUAUUUUAUAGUGCUGGUGCUUUGAAUCCUUUUCUUUUUUGCAACCUUCGGUGGUAACAUAUGUUUUUUAGUAUUGACAUCCUCAUCAUCCUCAUCACCAUCAUCAUCAUCUUCUAAUUACCUAAUAAUCAUCUCUUCAUACUCCCUUUAGUGUGCAUUAAAUGGGAUGAAAUCUGGCUGCAUUUCUCUAAUUUUUUUUUUGUUUCAGCAUUNNNNNNNNNNNNNNNNNNNNNNNNNNNNNNNNNNNNNNNNNNNNNNNNNNNNNNNNNNNNNNNNNNNNNNNNNNNNNNNNNNNNNNNNNNNNNNNNNNNNUUUUAUUAUAUAAUGAAUAAAAUGAGUUCAAUAUUUUUUUUUUGAGAUUCUUUCUUAUCUUGAAAAAAUUGGUUUCCUAAUGGAACCUUGCAAGGAUACUAGACACUAGAUAGAGGGAAAGUAUUUGCGGAAAAAAUCAAACACUGGAUGGCCUAUUAUGAUCGUGAUGAGCCUAAAGGUUAAAUUAAGCCUGAAGGUUAAAUUAUUAGUCAACUAAUAUGAUCCUGAUUCCUGAUUCCUGAAGGUUAAAUUCAUAGUCAACUAAAAUCAACUAAAAUGCCAGUAAAUGAUCCUGAUUCCUGAAGGUAACAAAAUUAACUAAGCACAACCAGCUUAAGCAGAACAGUAGCAAAAUUAACAGCAAAAGUAAAAGAAGAACAAAUGAACAGGGACAUCAAAUUCAAUCACUCCAACAUAAGCAAAAACAACUAAUUGCAGAAGCAGAACGAACGAACAGUAAAACAAAAUUCACAGUAAAAUAGAAUAGAAAGUCAAGAGCUUUCUCAUCACAUUUUUUCCAUGUCUGAGCAAUAUUCACAGCAAAGUUCAUGUCUUUGACCAUUUAAAGUAGCAGAAAAAUAAAAGAACAUGGAAAAUGAGAUACAGAACUAUGGAGCUGCAAGCCUGCAAGUUCAAAACAAAUGGGUCAACAAAGGGAAGAAUCGAUGCCACUGAUAUAGUAAAGCUCUCCUGCAAGUUCAACAGAGGGAAGAAUCUUUAAAAGAUGUUUCAAUUUGAUAUAGUAAAGCUCAUCUAACCUUAUUCUUAUAUUUGAAACAACGAUCAAGGAUUCAAGAGUCUUCUUCUGCUCCUCUGCUCUUUUUUGCGACUGAAAUGGUUUUGAAGAUUUCUUGAAUUAGGUAUGAAAUUAAUAAAGUCUUCUACACAGACUGCACUGCAUUCGUUCCUCUGCUCUUCUUGUUUUGGCCUUUUAAUUGUAAAAAGCCAAAACGACGUCGUUUCGAUCCUGAAUAUAUAUAUAAAAAACACCUGGGUCUCAACCGGGUUUGCCCGGGCCGGCCGGGUCCCGGGUGGACGUACCGGGUUGACCAGGUCUCACCGGGCUAAUUCCUAGCCUGUUUUUUGCUUAGACCCGGCCCAGCCACAGACCUGGGUCGGCCGGGUCCCGGGCCGGGUUUUAAAACUCUGCAUAGACCAAUCUCUUUUGCACCUGGUCCUAAAGGACAACAAGCUAUUUGGAGUUUAUGAUAGACUCAAAUGCAUGCAUUUAUAUAGCUACUUGGUGCAUAAUUGGCAGUUUCAUACUUGUAGUUGGUUUAUUUUUAUGGUUAAAAAUAUUUUUUGAAAAAAAUUCAUUUUUUUUAUAUUAUUUUUGUGUUAAAUUAAUUUUUUGGUAUUUUUAGAUUGUUUUAAAGUAUUUAUGUUAAAAUAAAAAUUUUAAUAUUAUUUUAAUAUAUUUUCAAACAAAAAAAAAUACUUUCUAGAGCAAAUGCUCAUAUUUAUAAAACCACCCUCGAUUUUAAUGCUUCUUAUAGUCAUCAUUUGCUUUGAAUAUUGAGUUUAUUUCCUAAAACCGUGAGCAAAUUUAUUUCUCGAAUGAACACUCUUGUUAUUUCACAAAUAUAGUCUCGUGAUCAUAGUUUUCAGACCCGGCCUAGUCCAAGGCUCAGGUUCCGCGUUUUGAUCGGGUCUGCCGGGUUAAUGUUUUUUUAAAAAUUAAAACAACGUCGUUUUAGUACAAAAAAAACAAAAGUCAACGGGUUGCAACCGGGUUUUUGACUGAUUUUUACCGGGUCAACCAGGUCACCAGGUCAACCCGCCAAGUUAACUAGGUCACCGAGUUUUUCCUUACCCUAUUUUUUCUUUAACCUGGCCUGAUUCUAGCCCCGGGUCGGCCUGGUCCCGAGUCAACCCGCCUGGCCAGGUCGGGUUUCAAAACUAUACUCGUGACACGUGGGUUGGGCAUGUAUUAUAAAAAAUAAUAAUUAAUAAUUAUAGUUGUCUACGCACCUGCAUGUGGGAUGUGCAUGUAUUAUAGAAAAUAGUCUCGUUACUUUUUAGAUAAUUAAAGAGAUUUGAAAGUUUAAUGGUCAUUUAAGGGUUAAAUUAAAGAAAUUCAAGACCAAGGAUCAAAAUAAAAAGGGUGUGGAAAUCCAAGGCUAAAAUUGAAGUUUAUCAAUGGCAAAAUUACACAAAAUUAAAAGUUUGAAGUCAAUCAAGGAUGUAAUUGAGAGAAAUCACAAAUCGAAAGAUUUAAUUGAACUUUACCAAAACAACGCUGUUUUGGUUACUGUUCGUUUCUUCUUAUUUUUUUCCUUGAAAAGACUACUCAUGAAUUACUUUUCAGGGGCAUCAAUGCUUCAUUUCUCUACCAAAUUUGACAAAACUUGCACGAAAAUGAUCGUCUAACAUCUAAUUACACCCCGGAGUGGUACUUUAUAGCCAAUUGACACCAUAACGGUCAUGGUACCGGCCCAAAGAGGCUUGCUUAGGCAGCCUUCAACUGUCAAAUUUAAUAGUUCAUGAUGCCUACUUUGAGCCAACGGUUGUGAUCCUCCGGGGCUGAAUCAAGGGCCAAGAUUUGACACCAUUAAAGACAAAAUGUUCCUCUUUCAUCCCCUAUAAAUAGGGGUGGAUUCCAUGCCCUGAGUGUGAAGAAAAUUGGGUGAAAAGUUGAUAAAAAACCAACCAACCUCCCUCUUUUUUUUUUCUUUUAGUCGACAAUUCUCUCUCUUCUUUUUCUCUCUCCACCGUGUUUUCAGCUGCCACAACCUUAGCACAACUGAACAACACAACAAAAACCCCUCUAUCAACCCAUCUCCUCGCCGACAACAGUAACCAUAACCGCCAAUCUCUCCUCCUUUUCCACCACAAACUUCUUCUUUUUCUUGCACCACAGGAACCCAACCACCACCUCAGCAUUGUUGUGUGCCACCAGCACUUCCACAGUCCUCUACAAGACCAGUGACGACAGUCGUGACCCAUGUGCCAAGUGAGCUCCUUCUUCUCUCCCCCCUCUCAUAUGCAUGCAGGAUGUGAAAUAAUUCACGUCCUGCAACUGCUGGCUUCUGGCAGCAGAUGCAAACUAGGCUGUACUCGUUUUGGCCUUGCCUAAAUGGUUGAGAUGGAUCUAGCCCACCCCUAAAAGAAGGAGGAGGAGGAGGAGGAGGAGGAGGAGGAGGGUCUGUUGGGCCGCUAGUUGGCUAACCCGACUGAUUUGGGCUGGACCAGGUCAAGCUCAAUUUAUAUUUCACAUAAUAAUAAUAAUAAUAAAAAAAAACAAAAAAAAUCUAAAAACUUCCAAGGGUCAUUUCAAAAUAUUUGUGAUUUUCUCGCAAGUUUUUUCAAUAAUUUUGUAUAAUAUCAGGUUGUAUAUUUAUAUUGUAAGAUACAAAUCCGGUAUUAAAAUACCUGGUAUUCUUCAAAAAUCUUCUUUAAAAAUUAAAAAAAAAUGUCAAUUUUUUAAAAUUAAUUUCCUCUAAAAAAAUAAAAAAUAGUUUGUUUUCAUGCAUAUGGCCGAAUCCUAAAAGUUUUUCAAGCAUAUUUUCAUAAAACCAAAAAAUACAUCUUUCUCAUGUUUUAAAAUGUAAAAUGGAUAUCAUAACCAAUUUAUGAUUUUCUCUUAGGGUUUAGCCAAAGCACUAAAAAUCCUUCACCAAUCAUUUUGUUCAUUUUAUAUUUAAAGUGUUAGGAUUUAGCUGUAAACUUUAAUAUUUGGAGGUAUAAAACUACAUUAUAAAGUAUAUACCCUCAGGUAUUAAAGAUACACAGUGCAAAAUAAACGUAAUGCUAAGAUUUAGACUUUAGAACGAUUAUGAUUUAACUCGAUAAGAUACAGACUUCCUAACAAAGAGAAAUUUACUUUGAACCUUAGAUAAGACCAACAAAUAGAAACACAAAAUAGAAAUACAAUCAAUUAUUACAAUUAUAAGUUUAUAUACAAAUAUUCCUAAUUUAUUAAAUUUAUAAGUUUACUAAAAGUAAACGAAAAGCAUAUUAAAUGGAAGAUAACAGUUUGAAUACAUAAUAAAAGAUAAAACUAAAGUCUACCUAGCUAUAACAAAAGAAUACAGCUACACCGUCACUGUUGUGAUGGAAUGGACCUUGUGUGUGUGUGUAAAGGUUAGCUAUCAAUUCAAAUAUAAAAACAAAUUAAGUAAUACACAACUAAUAUUAAUAUUAGGGAAUCACAACAAUUCCCAUACACCAUCACUAACACACAAUUCUUUUUAUCCUAUUUUUGGCCUCUAUACUAUCUAUUUCCUUAGCUCUUCAUUUGUAAUUCUUUGCCAACAAGCCCUUACUCUUACAUAUAAUUAUAAAUACUUCACACUAAUAACUUUAUAUCAUGUGGUAUAUUGGAUUAUCAAAGUUGUGGUCUCAUAAUGCAGUUAGCUUAGUUCUAUCUGAUGUCUUUGAUUUCCCUUUCUAAAAUCAUAUAAAAGACAUCUACUAUGUAGAUCAUCACUCGAAUGACCAACUCAUAAACACCCGACCCGUAACCCCCAUUUACGUGGUCAGCUUAUCAAUUAAUUUUAUAUUUCUUUGAUAUUUCUCUCUCUUUUUUUUAGAUGCAAACACAAUAACAAGAAAUUUAAAAAAUUAAGCCUAUUUCCAUAUUUUCAUAAAUAUCUCUAUAAAUAUAUAAAUAUCUAGGAUAUUUAUAAGAUAUUUAUCUUUAAAAAAUCUAUAUAAACAAAUAUAUCUUGUAGCAUAAAAAAAAAGGCUACAAGACCACAUCUGAUCUCUCUAAAUAAAACAAGUCUAAUAUAAAACUUAAAUAAGGUUUAAGAAAUAUUUAAGUUUAGAGAAUACUCAUUUUUCUCGUCACUUGUUCAAAUACUAUACUGACUUAAGCAUUAGAGUGUUUUUUUUACAAGUGUCACUAGCCCACCAAGUCCUUCAGAUCCAGUUUGAUCAGCCCAUGAAAAACGCCUACAAUCUUUCUCUUGAGGAUUUUUUUCAGCAAUAUCAAUUGGCAUUGUCUGUGAAAAAUGAAUAAAAAAUCCGAUCAUUCAUGUUUUUAAAAAACUCUUUUCAUGGCUAACAAUGCAUCUACCAUUACACCAACGACACAUGAUGUCAACAGCUACGCCAAUGACGUGUGAUGUCAAUAGCUAAACUAGUAGUGAAGCCCACUACUACGCCCCACAUGUUUACGCCAACGAUUACACUCGAUAUGGCUACGCCAAACACCCAAGGCAACACCUAUGAUUAUGUCUAAAACUACACUCCAUGGCUAUGCCCUAAGGCUACAUCCCCAAAUAACUUUUAUGGCGGCUUGUACAUAUACAAGGUGCAGUCGAGACUUGGGAGCUCUAUUGAUACAUUGAAGGUAAUAUUACCCCCUAUAAGUAUUUCCUCCCCUACUCUUGCUUAUUAGUACUUAAAAAUACAUUCUCAUUAAAGUUUUAUAUCAUUAUAUUGCAAUUAAAGUAUUAUUAAAUUCUCUAACUUAAGCAUAUUUUAUAAUAACGAGUAUGAUAAUAUAAGAUAGCUUUAAUUUAUGAUAAAUGCUCAUUUUAAAUGCAAGCAUAUUUCACAAUUCAAAUGAUUGAUUAAUGUGAUUAACUAUUGAAAGUGAAAAGAUCAUCAAAAGGUUAAGAGCUGUUGGUUCAAACUGGAACAUCAUUCCGUAAUUGGGUCACAACUGGAGCUGUAUACCUUGGAUUUAGGCCUUCUAUAUAUGGAUGGUUAUAAGACAUGGGCCUAAAACUUUCAUGUAGAAAGCAAGACUUAAAUUUGCUAUUUUCAAUCUCAAAUUGUAGCAACAAAAGAGAAGUCAGAAUUUGUCUUGCAGCCUAGACACUAUUCAGUGUUUAGCUCAUAUCUUAAGUUCUAGAAGUUCAAAUGAGCUCCCAUUUAUAUGGAUGGAAAGCUGAGUCAAAUUUCUAUAACUUUCAUGAAGAACAUGUUUCCAAAUUCUGAUUGGAGCAAUGUUAUUUCAUCCAGCAAAACAAAUUUAUACCUAAACAACCAAGUUCACUAAAUUAAUAGUUGGCCACUACAUCAAUAAUGAAUAACAAAUGAAUAGUUUUGAAAUUUAGCCUAUGAAAGGAGGCAUUUACCAUACGUUUAGGCAUCUUAGUUUUCAGAUCAAGAUCUUGCUCUUGCUCUCUUUCUUUGUAUUUUGUAAUGUUCAAGUUUUAUUUCAUGUUAUAUUUUCAUUAAUCUCUUAUUUAUGCUUUUCAUUUACUUUAUUAUCCUUAGUUAACUUAUUUAAUAUAUGUGUUCUUAUGUUGUUUAUUUAUGUUCCAUUCCCAAUGCUCUUACCCUAUACACGGGACGGGGCACUCCUAAUUUGAGAGAAGAUGUUAGAAACCAUGCAGCUGCCUUGGGCCUUAACUCCUUUGUAUUGGCCCAGAUUGAAAGCCCAGUUUAUGGCAAUGGAUCUCAAAGCCCAUCUGACGUUCUCUCUAUUUCAUCUGGAUCAAACAACGAUUUAGCCCUUCAAUCAACAUAUAAUCCUCAAGCCAUAGUAAUUCUGGAACCGCAACACAUGAAUCACCCUGUUAUUUUACACUCUGAUGCAAACACAAAAGAGAGUGCAACUGCUCUAUCUGCAAAAACAAGAAGGAAGUUGCGACGUACAAAGAUGAUUACAGCUGAUGGAAGUUUGAAUGAAACAGUUAAUAAGAGUGAGAUGGAUACUGAGGACUCAACAAUACAGAGGUGUAACAGGAGGAACUUGCUAGCACUUAGCGAAAACAAUAAACCUUCUGAGGGUGAUGAGGUUUGUUUAAUGCUGGAAAUAGGAGAGGCUUUGCAGAUUGAAAAACCUCACAAUUUAGAUGACUUCACAUCUUAUAUAAAUCAGCAAAGGCGUAAAGAGAAGGCUGAUCGGGAAGCAUCCCAGUGAGUAGAUGUUCCACUUUAUUCUAUAAGGAUUUUAAAUAUCUUUUCUUAUGCAGAUUCUUUCAUGGAAUUCUUGUGGUUUGGGGUUAGCUAGAAAGAAUAGGACAGUUUCAAAGUUAAUCAGAGAUUUUAAUAUAGAGGUUUGUUUUUUGUUUGAAACUAAGUUACAAAGUUACUCAGACAGAUUGGUUUUUCAGUUAUGGAACGUCAGCAAUGUUUCUUGGUUUGGUAAUGAGGCUGAAGGUACCAAAGAGGGCAUCCUGGCUAUGUGGGAUAACUCUAAGUUUGCGGUAUCAUCAGUGGAGUAUGGUCAUGAUUGGAUCGGGUUAUUUGGGCAGAAUUUCUUGACUGGCUUCUUAGGGGCGGUGGUAGGUGUUUAUGCCCCUUGCAAUCAAGCUGACAGACUUCUUCUUUGGAAGGACCUUCGUAUUCUGAAGGCUGCUUUUGAGUGUCCUUGGUUUUAAGCAGGUAACUUCAAUGAAACUAUGUUGCGAAGUGACAGAAGCAGCGGCUUCAUUAACAAGGUGGGUUCAACAGCUUUUAGACUUUUUAUUGAUGAUUGUAACCUAAUCGAGUACAACAUGUCAGAGGGUUUGUACACUUGGUUUCGUGGGGGAUCCAUGAGUAAACUAGACCGCAUUUUUUCUAGUCCUUAUUGUCAUUUGCAAUUCCCUCUUUUGUCUCUUUGACGGCUUCCAAGAGGGUUCUCUGAUCAUUGCCCUUUAAUCCUACGGGUUUUACCUGCAGAAAAAGGUUGGAUUCCUUUCAAAUUCAUGGAUAGUUGGCUCCAUCAUCCAAAUUUUAAAGAUAUCGUAAAGGGUAUAUGGGAUGAAGCUUGCAAUGAAUUUUCAGGUCAGUUUAAGCUCAUUAAGAAGCUCAGCUUUAUUGCAAGUCGGCUCAGACAAUGGAAUAGGGUUGGUUUUGGGCAUCAGGAGACUACUUUGGCAUUGAUCCAAAGCAAUAUUUCAGCUAUAGAACAGAAAUCAGAGUAUGGGCAAUUAUCUACUGCAGAGCAGAACUCACUUGAUUCAUUGAUCAAGAAGCAGUGGCAAUGUAACUUGCAUAUAGAAAGCAUGUGGCGUUAAAAGUCUCACCAAAUUUGGUGUCGCCUGGGUGAUCGCAACACGCGUUUCUUCCAUCUAGUUGCUAACUUCAGAAGGGCUAAAAACCAUCUCCUGAAAGUGGUUCAUAAUGGUUCUGUUGUUGAAGGCUUACCGGUCAUAAAAGAUGCAGCAGUUAGCUUCUUCUCCAACUUAUUUAGAAGUCCUGAUAGAUUCCGAAUUGGUUUAGGGCCUGUUGGUUUUAAAACACUCUCGGCUUCUUCUUCAGCUAGCUUGGAGCGAGAUAUCACUUUGGAAGAAUUAAAGCAGAGUGUUUGGGAUUGUGAUGGGAGCAAGAGUCCGGGUCCAGAUGGUUUCAAUUUCAAAUUCUAUAGGCUUGCUUGGAAUUUCAUUGCAGAUGAUCUGUUAGACCUGGCUAAGAAUUUCUUCAAAACAGGUAGGCUUCCAAAAGGAGUCAAUCAUGCUUAUGUUCAUCUAAUUUCGAAGAUAGCUUCCCCAGUUGGCUUUAAAGAUUUCAGGCCUAUUAGUUUGAUUCAUGGCAUUUACAAGAUAAUUGCUAAGGUUCUUUCUAGCCGUCUGAAAGCGGUUAUGCAUGACCUUAUCAGUGAGAAUCAAACAGCUUUCUUGGCAGGGAGGCAAAUAAUUGAUGGGUUUUUGGUUGCCAAUGAAGCAGUUCAUUCCUUGAAAAGAUACAGAGUGUCAAGCCUUAUCUUUAAGGUGAAUUUUCACAAAGCUUUCGAUAGUGUGCAGUGGGAUUAUUUAGAGCAGGUUAUGAGGCAUAUGGGUUUUGGUGAAAAAUGGAUUAAUUGGAUCAACACUUGCAUCUCCACUGCAAAAUUAUCAGUGCUGAUUAAUGGAUCUCCUUUUAAGGAAUUCUUGAUGGGCCGUGGGAUUCGCCAAGGUGACCCCCUUUCUCCAUUCCUUUUUCUAAUUGCAGUAGAGGGAUUAUCUGUUUUGUUUCAAAGAGUAGCUUCAAAUGAUCUUUUCAAAGGUAUCCCUUUUAGAGACAACUUUUGCCUCAGUCACCUACAAUAUGCAGACGACACUUUGAUCUUCAUGCCUGCUAAUCUUCAUAUGGUCAAAACAGUUAAAAGGAUCCUGUUGUGGUUCGCUAUUUGUUCAGGUUUGCACAUUAACUUCCAUAAAAGCUCUUUAAUUGGCAUAAAUGUUGGGGAAGAUACUUGUGCUAGUAUGGCAUCUUCAGUCUUUUGCAGAUUUGAUUUCUUGCCUUGCUCUUAUCUAGGCAUGCCUUUGGGAUCCAAUCCUAAAAGAUUGUCUACAUGGAAGCCUAUUAUUGAGAAUUUCAGAAGAAAGUUGAGCAUGUGGAGAGGUCGUAUGCUUAGUAUGGCAGGACGUAUUUGCCUAAACAAAAGUGUCUUAAGUUCAUUGCCAGUAUAUUAUAUGUCUUCUUUUCUUAUGCCGAAAGGUGUCUGUAAUAUACUAACAUCUAUUCAAUGGAGAUUCUUGUGGUCUGGAGUGGCGAAGCAAAAGAAAAUCUGCAAGGUUCAGUGGCGUAUUGUUGUGAAAGCUAGAAAAGAAGGAGGCCUCGGGUUGGGUUAUUUAAUGUCUAAAAAUAUAUCCAUGCUUUUCAAAUGGAUAUGGAGACUAAGCUUACCAGACAAUGCCUUAUGGAAACAGGUAACAACUCAUUUUUACUCCCCAACUUUCGAGAACGGAAUCCCAAAAUUGCAUGGUCAUAUUUCCCCAUUUUGGAAAGAUGUUCUGUCAAUCUUGGAUCCAAACAGUGUCAUCGGCUUAGUAUUGCAUGAAAACAUUAAAUUCAAGAUUGGUGAUGGAUCCUCCAUUCUCUUCUGGUCUGAUGUGUGGAUUGGAUCAAAUGCUUUACGUAGCAUUUUCCCUAGGCUUUAUCAAAAUUCUACUUUUCGGAAUGGUUUGGUUAAUGAGAUGGGUCAAUGGGUGAAUGAUCAAUGGCGAUGGAAUUUGGUUUGGCGUAGGAACCUCUUAUCUUAUGAAGAGCAACAAUAUCAUCAUUUGCUCUCAAUGCUGGCGCCAACGAAAAUUCAGCAAGGAAGAGAUGACAAACUUAUAUGGCCAUGCAAUUCUUACGGAAGCUUCUCAGUUAAAUCUUGUUGCACCCUAAUUGAUAAUACCUCCUCUGCGAAUGAUAGAGUUUUCGAAGCCAAUGUUUGGAUUAAAGGGGCCCCUCUAAAAGUUCAGGUGUUUCUCUGGUUAACAGUACAGGACAAAGUUAGUACAAGAGCUUUCCUUCAUCAACGGACUGUUUUGUCUGCCACACAAGCUUCAUGUGUCUUUUCCAGCUCAGAUUUGGAAACCUCAGAGCAUCUUUUCAUACAUUGUAACUUUUCUAGGAGUGUUUGGAUGAAAGUUUUGGAUUGGUGAGGUAUCCAAUGUUGUUUACCGAAAACACUUGACUCGUUGCUUUUGUAGUGGCCCGAAAUGGUACAUGGCAAAUUCCAAAGAUCAGCUUGGAGACUAAUUUCAAGUAGUACUAUUUGGGGUAUUUGGUUACUGAGGAACAAAAUUGUUUUUGAGGAGGGAACUAUAAACUUGUUUGAUUGUUUCUCCACCAUCCUUCAUCGGGUUGCUAUUUGGUUGCAUACUCAGGAUUCAAACUUCACUUAUAUAGGAAAUGACCUCUUAAGAUCUUCUGAUGGCAUCAAAUUGUGGUGUAAUAAGAAAUCUUAGGUAGUCUUUUUGUUGUUUGCUGUAGUAGAUCAGUUUUUUAGGUUUUUUUUUUUUCAUAUCCCUUGUAUUUUUCUUUGGCUAUUGGCUUUAUGGCCUUCUUAAUAUACUCUCGAUGAUUAUCAAAAAAAAAAAAAAGCUAAGUUUAUUAUGUCAAUGUGAAAAGGUUUCACUAAUGGUGUUAUAAUAAGUAUAAUAUAAACUCAACAUGGACUUCAAUAUUUAUAUCCAAGAAAGUUUGUUAUUGACAUGUCUUAUCAUUUUUAUCUUAUCAAUUCUUAAUACCUUGCUUAUUAAAUGGUUAAUCUAGAUUUGUGUUAUACAACCUUUGGUACAACAAAUACUUGACUCUUUUAUAGCCUACUGCAUGGUAUAACCGACAGUUGUGCUGUGAAAUGAACUUGAUUUGUUGUUAACAUAAGUUAACAUCAUGAAUACCUAACAAUAUUUACAAGAUUGGUGUUACUUAAAUAAGAUAAUUAAUAUGAUCAUGUAAAUACUUUAUAAUGAAAAGAGUUUAUACUAUACUUAUUUGAAAUAUCAUUAGUGAAUCUUUUAACCUUGAUAAUUGUUCUAUCUUUAUUUAAUCCUUACAUCAAUAUCACAUAAAAUUCUCCUCAACUCUUUGUUUUAUUAUAUAUAUUAUUUGUAAUUUAUAUAGUUCAUCUCCUUGUGGUUCGACCCUAGUCUUGUCGGGUUAUUUAUUACUUCGACACUCUUGCAUUUGGGAUAAAACAUCAAUCAUUUGAUCAUGUCCCUUGCUAAUAAGUCAAGUCUUCCAAACACAUCUAUUUGCAAGAUUACUUGGAGGGCUUUGAUGAUACUUGCAUGAAAAAACUACAAAGUAAUAUUAAUUCUUGGGCCUACGUGGUAUUUUAUACAAUGUACAUAUCUCUAUAAAUAUAUUUAUAAAUAUCUAGGAUAGUUAUAAGAUAUUAAUAUUAAAUAUCUUAUAACUUAGAUAUUUAUAUAAAAUAUAUUAAAACUUAAAUAUUUAUCUUAAAAAAAUUUAUAUAAAUAAAUAUAUUUAGAAGUAUAAAGAAAGAAGUUAGAAGGCUAGAGCUCAGCUCUCUAGACAAUGUAAGGCUUUAAUAUAUUAAGUUAAGCAUUAGAAUAUUUUUUGUUUGCAAGUGUUAUAAGGCUCACAAAGUUCUUCAGAUCUAGUUUUUUCAACCCAUGAAAAGUGCUCCUAAUUUUUCUUUUGAGGACUUUUUCCAACCCCAUCACAACUAUUAAAAACAUGUGGGGUUGAUGAAGAACACAACAUUGAUGAAUCUCAUAUUCCUUGCUUAAAAACACGAAACCUAAUAACCACUGCAACUAGUUAUACAACUUUCAGAUAAGAGAUAAAAAUCGAGUAUUAGACCUUAACAUUAAUAAGGAGGUUCACCAAACUUCUCAUCCAUUUAACCAUAUAAAUAUAUAUAUUUUUUUAUUCUGUAUUUUUCCUAUUUGUACUAAGAUCACCAUAUAUAUAUUUUUUGUACAUGUCUCCUUUUUUCUCUCUUUCUCUCAUUUUUUUUUUUUUGCUUCUUUGAUCUUAUAUGGUAUUAGAGCAUUUUUUUUAACAACAUCCAUGACUUUCCCAGAUAAUCUCUCUUGCAUUUUUAGUAAUAAAGAAUAAGAACCUCCCUUUUCUCUCCCAACGAACCAACAAUCUAUAACAUCUGCAUUGCUGCUACUUUAGAAUGCUUAUUGUCAAGGGUGGACCUAGAACAUGGGUUAUAAGUGUCAUGGACCUCCAUGUUCAAAAAACGUUUAAGACCCAUAUAGAAUUUGGUCUAAUUUUAAUACCUUGUAAUUACCUCCCCCAAACAAACUUUUAGUUAGCCCUCCCAAAAAUCAUCACCCUUAAUCCUAGAUUUUUGGUUCUGUAUACACUACCACUGUUGUGAUGGAAUGGACCUUUUAUAUAUAUAUAUAUAUAUAUAUAUAGCUAUCAAUUCAAAUAUGCAAACAAAUUGAGUAAUAUACAACUAAUAUUAAUAUUAGGGAAUCACAAAAAUUCCCAUACACCAGCAUUAAAACACAAUUCUUUUUAUUUUCUUUUUGGCCUCUUCUUGACUAUACUAUCUAUUUUCUUAACUCUUCAUUUGUAAUUCUUUACAAACAAGCCCUUACUCUUACAUAUAAUUAUAUAUACUUCACAAUAAUAACUUUAUAUCAUGUUGUAUAUUGGAUUAUCAAAGUUGUGGCCUAUCCAUGCAGUUAGCUUAUUUCUAUCUGAUGUAUUUGAUUUUCCUUCCUAUAAUCAUCUAAAAAACAUCUAAUAUGUAGAUCCCCACUUAAAUAACCAACUCAUAAACACCUGGUUCAUAACCCUACUUAUGUGGUCCGUAUAUCAAUUUCUGAUCAGUAAUCCUCACUCAUGUGGUUAGCUUAUCAAUUAAUUUUAUAUUUAUUAGAUUAUUAAUUUCUGAUUAGUAAUUCCAACUCAUGUGGUCGGUUCAUCAAUUAAUUUUAUAUUUUUUGUUUUGGGAUGCAAACGCAAUACCAAGAAAUUUAAAAGUAAUGUUGCUUUAACUAAAAGCAAGGUGGAGAGCAUCUUUUUGCUACAUCUGAUGAUCUAGUUCCUUAUGUCAAGGAUCCAGCCGCUAGUGCAUCUCUUUAUAAGAAAGAAGGUUUACAAAUUUUGAAAUUCAUGAAUUUAUGUUCACAUUAUCAUUGUUCAAUUCAUAUCAAGACAUUUCAUUACACCUUAAUUUAUACGCCUUUCAAUGAGUCCAUUUCUUAUUUCCAUUAUCUUAUAUAUUAAUUUCCUUGCUUUACAAUAAUACACAAUACUGAUGUUAGAUUUCUUUACAUCAAAGUUUACCGUCAACUUUAUUACACAACAACAUUUACUAGCAUCAUUUUUCUUUUAGUUAAAAUAUUAUUUAUUUUAUUUGACUCAUUCCCAAUCUUAUAACUUAGUCAAAUCUUUAAUUUUAUUUAAUAUGCUAAUAUUUUCCACAUUGCAUUGCAUAUACAACUUUUCAUAAUUCACAACUUACCACUUAAUUUCCAUAACUACCUUGAAAUUUCUAAACACACAAAGUCAACACAAUAUAUUAUAAUGAGUAUUCAUUUUAAUUCUUGUUCUUUUAAUUUUGUUUUUACAAUAAUUAGAAAUUAAAUUAUACAAAAAUAUUGUCCUGCCAUCAACAUCCGAUACGUGGCAUCAUUGUUCAAUAUGAAAAGCUUAAAAAAAAUUUAAGGGCAAUGAAAAUAUAACUUUUAAGGUCUAAAUUGUACAUCAUCAUUGUUCACUAGCAUCCAAGCUAUGUAAAAUCUCAAAAAUCAAAUAAAGAAAAAUUAUAACACAACAUAAACAAGGGAUAAUUGCAUUAACAGUACACCAAUUUUAAUCCUUUUUAUCAAUCAAAUGCAUGAAUUUUAUUUUAUUUUUGUUUAAAUACUUUUUUUUAUCCAAACUCUGUUAGUUACUCCUUUUUUUGUUUACGUGUACUUUGGCAUUGCAUUUAUUGAAAAAAAUUGCAACAUUGAUAUACCAACUUUCAGUUUUCAUCAGUCAAGUAAAUAAACUUCAUUAUUUUUUUUUCAUUUUAGUACACCAUUUUUCAAAAAUCUCAUACAAAAACAAGCUGAUCCCUUCUAUAAAUUUAAUUUUUAUUAAAAAUAUUCAAAAUAUCCAUCCCCAUAAAUCGGGAGUAAUAACCACUGGCCAGGAAAGGUGCCUUGGGCUCUGAAUUCUCACAACCACGGAGAGCUUUCAGAGACCGUUUACACAUGUAGAAUUAUAAAUCCAUAAGCAUACCAAGAUGGAUGGUAAGCAAUAAAACGUUGUGUAGACGUCUAAAUCUUAAUUGAUUACAAAUGAAGCUCCAAGCAUUUCUAUGGCUUUAUUCAAAUUAAAGACGAGGUUUCACUGAGGUUUAAACUUAUGGACUCGGGAUUGAUGGGGUAGAGAUCAUGGGCAGAUGUUGAGGAAUUUCCAAUCCAUGAUUUAUUAGAUGGAGGAAAGAGGUCUUGUGUGCUGUUUAAACUCUGGUCUGUGACCUGCUGAUAGUGGCCUUUGAGACGUUUGGAGUGUAAAUCAUCACCAUAAUGCUAGGAUCUGAGGUCACCUCCUGGAUGCUGGUCUGUCCUUCAAGCAUGCUCACCACUUCUGACAUUGCAGGCCUUAGAGAUGGAGAUACAUUGGUUCAUAAGAGAGCCGCUUUGAUCUGUUGGUGGGAAAGGCCACUGGUGGUGGUUUUAAAUACUCAGAGGAGAUGAAACACACUGUUAUUAUUUCAAAAAAAUAACAAGAAGAUUACAAGCACUCAAACUGACCCACUCUUUCUCUCUUGUAUUUUCCACACACAUUACAAUGUUCUCUUGAUGCCUAUUUAUAGACAUAAACGGUAAAACAGAAAAAAAAAACAGAGAACAUGCAGAAUAUAUUCCACCAGCUCAUCCUUCAACCUUUACUAAAGUAGAUGAGUUGUUCCACUUUGUUGCUUUAAUGGAGUAGGACUACUUCACAUGGUCAUGUUCAAACAGCUGGACCUUAUGAUUGAGUUUACAGCAACAAAUUUCCCCUUUAAACUCAAUUGAGUGAUGUCAUUCCAAGCAUGAAUUUCAAUCUGAUAAAUAUCUCCCCUUUCAAUGGUUUUGUAAAGAUAUCUGCAACUUGAUCAGUUGUUUUGCAAGAUAUAAGUUCAACUUUUUUGUUCUUCACAUCUCUCGGAUAAAGUGAUGACGUGUAUCGAUGUUUUUACUUCUUUCAUGAUACACUGGGUUCUUUGCUAAUGCAAUCGCUGAUCGAUUAUCAAUAUAAAUCUCUGUAGGAUUUUCUUGUGGAAAUCCCAAAUACUUCAACAUAUUUCUUAACCAUAUUGAAUGACAUACAGCUGAGUUGGCAGCAACAUACUUAGCUUCACAGCUUGAUAACGUUACUAUCGAUUGCUUCUUGGAUAUCCAUGUGAAAGAUGUAUCUCCCAUGAAAAAAACAAAUCCUGUUGUGCUUUUUCUUUCAUCCAGAUCUCUACCCCAAUCACUAUCCGAGUACCCAACAAGAUUGAAGGUUUUACUUGAAGUGUAAAACAUACCUUUCAUUUAUCGUUCCUUUGAUGUAGCGAAGAAUUCUCUUGGCUGCAUUCAAGUGAGACUGGUCUGGUGUAUCCAUAUAUCUGCUGAUAAGUCCAACUCCGUAAAGUAUAUCCGGUCUGGUACAUGUCAAGUACCUCAAGCUUCCUAUUAAGCUUUUGAAGUAAGUUAGAUCAACAUUUCCAGCUUUACUCUUUCUUAAUUCCACUCCAUUCUCAACUGGAGUUGAUAUUGGAUUGCAGCUUUCCAUCUUGAACCUUUCAAGAAUAUUUGUAGCGUAGUCGCUUUGAGAUACAAAAAUCCCUUCUUCUUUUUGCAUUACUUCCAGACCAAGAAAGUGUGUCAUUAGACCAAUGUCUAUCAUCUCAAACUGUUGUACCAUACUAUUCUUGAAGUUUUCAAACAUGGUAGGAUUGUUGCUGGUGAUAUCAAAUCAUCAACAUAUAGGCAUACAAAAAGUGUGCUUCCAUCAGCUUCUUUCUUCACAUACAUCGCGUGUUCAUAUGGACAUUUCUCAAAUCCAUUCUCUUGAAAGUAACUGUCAAUUAUGGUAUUCCAAGCAUGCGGAGAUUGCUUCAAACCAGAGAGAGCUUUCUUCAACUUGUAUACUUUAUCUUCAUUUCCAGCUUCAAUGUAUCCAAGUGGUUGUUCAACAUAGAUCUCUUCUUCUAGGAAGCCAUUCAGAAAUGCUGACUUCACGUCGAGUUGAUAGAUCUUCCAUCUAUGUAGUGCAGCUAAUGAGAUCAUCAAUCUGAUUGUCUCUAGCCGGGUUACUGGAGCAAAUACUUCUCCAUAGUCAAUUCCUGCUCUCUGUUUGUAGCCUUUUGCCACUAAUCUUGCUUUGUAUCUUUGUACUUCGCCUUUUGCAUUCUUUUUCGUCUUAUAGACCCAUUCGACACUUAUUGCUUUCUUGUUUUCUGGUAGAUUAGUCAGCUUUCAAGUAUCAUUCUUCUCAAUGGCAUGCAUUUCUUUAUCCAUUACUUCUAUCAACUUCUCUUCUGUAACAGCUUCAUUGAAGCUAAGUGGGUCACUAUUCGUGAAGAAACAAAAUAGAGUUGUAUCUUCUAUGACUAGGGUGGCAUCGUACAACUCUUCUAGAUUUCUCAUCCUUCUUGGUUCUUCUGAUGAGGAUGCUGAUGGUGGUGUUGAUGAUGAUCCUGAUGUGUUUCUACUGUUGAAUAUAGGGAAUCUGUGUACCGGACUUUGUGGCUCAUCUGCUGGUAACAUUGGACUUUCUGCUGUUGGUACUUCCACUUCGUUUUCAAGGAUCAAAUCAGUGCUGAUCCAUUUGACUGCUUCUUGAUCAUCAUUUCAUUGCCAAGUUUUAUCUUCUUCAAAGAUAACAUCUCUACUCAUAAUUACCUUCUUUGUGAUGGGAUUAUAUAGCUUGUAUCCCAUCCUUCUAUCACCAUAUCCGACAAAGAUGCAUUUCUCACUUUUAUCAUCGAGUUUGGUCCUUCUUGCAUCUGAGAUUUUUGCAUAUGCCACACAACCAAAGACUCGAAGAUGAGUAACACUUAGUUUGUGACCACUCCAUGCUUCUUCUGGAGUGAUAGCUUGCAAACUUCUGGUUGGGCAGCGAUUCAGUAAAUACACUGCAUAUGAUACAGCUUCAGCCCAGUAUUGUUUGGGUAGCUUCUUUGCUUUGAGUAGACUUCUUGUCAUGUCAAGAAUUGUUCGAUUCUUUCUCUCAGCUACACCAUUCAGUUGUGGUGUAUAGGCAGGCGUUGUCUGAUGCCUGAUGCCUUGUUGUGUACAAAAAACUUCAAAGUCAUUUGCUGUAUAUUCUCCAACUUGAUCAGAUCUCACGGUUAUGAUCUUAUAGCCACUUUGCUUCUCAACAAUUGCUUUAAAAUCUUUAAAACAAUUCAACACUUCUGACUUCCUCUUCAGAAAGUAUACCCAUGUCUUCCUGCUAAAAUCAUCAAUAAAAGUAAGGAAGUACCUAUUUUGUCCAGUUGACAUAGGAUUUAUGGGACCACACACGUCUGUGUGCACUAACUUCAGUGGCUUAUUUGCCUUUCAGUUGACUUCUUUGGCAAAACUGGAUCUGUGAUGUUUGCUAAAGACACAACUCUCAGAUACUUCAUCUGGAUGAUACGUUGGACAUACCUUUUUAUCAAUCAAAUGCAUGAAUUUUAUUUUAUUUUUUUUAAUGCACCAACUCAAUUAAGAAUUCUAAUCAAGCACUUUCAUCCAAACUCUGUUAGUUACUCCUUUUUUUGUUUACGUGUACUUUGGCAUUUAUUAAAAAAAAAUGCAACAUUGAUAUACCAACUUUCAGUUUUCAUCAGUCAAAAAUCACAGAUACAGUUUUUUCACUUUCAUCCAAACUUCAUUAUUAUUUUUUUCAUUUUAGUACAGCAUUUUUCAAAAAUCUCAUACAAAAACAAGCUGAUCCCUUCUAUAAAUUUAAAUUUUAUUAAAAAUAUUCAAAAUAUCCAUCCCCAUAAAUCGGGAGUAAUAACCACUGGCCAGGAAAGGUGCCUUGGGCUCUGAAUUCUCACAACCAUGGAGAUAGCUUUCAGAGACCGUUUACAUAUGUAGAGGGCUGUUUGUGAGGAAGGGCUGAUUCGGCAAGAAAGGGGUUGGAAUUUUUGGGUAUGAUCCUGGUUAAAUGCUGGACAUAAUUUAUGCCUUGUGUCUUGCGUAUUUCUUUCUGGCCCCCAAGCUUUAUUCACAGUUCUCUAUUUAUAAUUCAAGAGUCUGUAGUCAUAUCAAAUUCAAGAAUCUCACACAAAAACAAGCUGAUUCCUUCUUUUAAUUUAAUUUUUUUUAAAAAUAUUCAUAAUAUACAUCCCCAUAAAUCGGAAGUAAUAAUCAUUGGCCAGGAAAAGUGUCUGGGGCUCUGAAUUCUCACAACCACGGAGAUAGCUUCCAUAGACCGUUUACAUAUAUAGAAUUAUAAAUCCAUAAGCAUACCAAGAUGAAUGGUAAGCAACAAGACGUUGUGUAGACGUCUAAAUAUUGAUCAUUAUGUGAUUACAAACGAAGCUCCAAGCAUGUCUUUGGCUUUAUUCAAAUUAAAGACGAGGUUUCACUGAGGUUUAAACUUAUGGACUCGGGAUUCAUGGGUAGAGAUCAUGGGCAGAUGUAGAGGAAUUUCCAAUCCACGAUUUAUCAGAUCGAGGAAAGAG